rnacentral:rRNA from 3 species
GGUUAAGCGACUAAGCGUACACGGUGGAUGCCCUGGCAGUCAGAGGCGAUGAAGGACGUGCUAAUCUGCGAUAAGCGUCGGUAAGGUGAUAUGAACCGUUAUAACCGGCGAUUUCCGAAUGGGGAAACCCAGUGUGUUUCGACACACUAUCAUUAACUGAAUCCAUAGGUUAAUGAGGCGAACCGGGGGAACUGAAACAUCUAAGUACCCCGAGGAAAAGAAAUCAACCGAGAUUCCCCCAGUAGCGGCGAGCGAACGGGGAGCAGCCCAGAGCCUGAAUCAGUGUGUGUGUUAGUGGAAGCGUCUGGAAAGGCGCGCGAUACAGGGUGACAGCCCCGUACACAAAAAUGCACAUAUUGUGAGCUCGAUGAGUAGGGCGGGACACGUGGUAUCCUGUCUGAAUAUGGGGGGACCAUCCUCCAAGGCUAAAUACUCCUGACUGACCGAUAGUGAACCAGUACCGUGAGGGAAAGGCGAAAAGAACCCCGGCGAGGGGAGUGAAAAAGAACCUGAAACCGUGUACGUACAAGCAGUGGGAGCACGCUUAGGCGUGUGACUGCGUACCUUUUGUAUAAUGGGUCAGCGACUUAUAUUCUGUAGCAAGGUUAACCGAAUAGGGGAGCCGAAGGGAAACCGAGUCUUAACUGGGCGUUAAGUUGCAGGGUAUAGACCCGAAACCCGGUGAUCUAGCCAUGGGCAGGUUGAAGGUUGGGUAACACUAACUGGAGGACCGAACCGACUAAUGUUGAAAAAUUAGCGGAUGACUUGUGGCUGGGGGUGAAAGGCCAAUCAAACCGGGAGAUAGCUGGUUCUCCCCGAAAGCUAUUUAGGUAGCGCCUCGUGAAUUCAUCUCCGGGGGUAGAGCACUGUUUCGGCAAGGGGGUCAUCCCGACUUACCAACCCGAUGCAAACUGCGAAUACCGGAGAAUGUUAUCACGGGAGACACACGGCGGGUGCUAACGUCCGUCGUGAAGAGGGAAACAACCCAGACCGCCAGCUAAGGUCCCAAAGUCAUGGUUAAGUGGGAAACGAUGUGGGAAGGCCCAGACAGCCAGGAUGUUGGCUUAGAAGCAGCCAUCAUUUAAAGAAAGCGUAAUAGCUCACUGGUCGAGUCGGCCUGCGCGGAAGAUGUAACGGGGCUAAACCAUGCACCGAAGCUGCGGCAGCGACGCUUAUGCGUUGUUGGGUAGGGGAGCGUUCUGUAAGCCUGUGAAGGUGUGCUGUGAGGCAUGCUGGAGGUAUCAGAAGUGCGAAUGCUGACAUAAGUAACGAUAAAGCGGGUGAAAAGCCCGCUCGCCGGAAGACCAAGGGUUCCUGUCCAACGUUAAUCGGGGCAGGGUGAGUCGACCCCUAAGGCGAGGCCGAAAGGCGUAGUCGAUGGGAAACAGGUUAAUAUUCCUGUACUUGGUGUUACUGCGAAGGGGGGACGGAGAAGGCUAUGUUGGCCGGGCGACGGUUGUCCCGGUUUAAGCGUGUAGGCUGGUUUUCCAGGCAAAUCCGGAAAAUCAAGGCUGAGGCGUGAUGACGAGGCACUACGGUGCUGAAGCAACAAAUGCCCUGCUUCCAGGAAAAGCCUCUAAGCAUCAGGUAACAUCAAAUCGUACCCCAAACCGACACAGGUGGUCAGGUAGAGAAUACCAAGGCGCUUGAGAGAACUCGGGUGAAGGAACUAGGCAAAAUGGUGCCGUAACUUCGGGAGAAGGCACGCUGAUAUGUAGGUGAAGUCCCUUGCGGAUGGAGCUGAAAUCAGUCGAAGAUACCAGCUGGCUGCAACUGUUUAUUAAAAACACAGCACUGUGCAAACACGAAAGUGGACGUAUACGGUGUGACGCCUGCCCGGUGCCGGAAGGUUAAUUGAUGGGGUCAGCGCAAGCGAAGCUCUUGAUCGAAGCCCCGGUAAACGGCGGCCGUAACUAUAACGGUCCUAAGGUAGCGAAAUUCCUUGUCGGGUAAGUUCCGACCUGCACGAAUGGCGUAAUGAUGGCCAGGCUGUCUCCACCCGAGACUCAGUGAAAUUGAACUCGCUGUGAAGAUGCAGUGUACCCGCGGCAAGACGGAAAGACCCCGUGAACCUUUACUAUAGCUUGACACUGAACAUUGAGCCUUGAUGUGUAGGAUAGGUGGGAGGCUUUGAAGUGUGGACGCCAGUCUGCAUGGAGCCGACCUUGAAAUACCACCCUUUAAUGUUUGAUGUUCUAACGUGGACCCGUGAUCCGGGUUGCGGACAGUGUCUGGUGGGUAGUUUGACUGGGGCGGUCUCCUCCUAAAGAGUAACGGAGGAGCACGAAGGUUGGCUAAUCCUGGUCGGACAUCAGGAGGUUAGUGCAAUGGCAUAAGCCAGCUUGACUGCGAGCGUGACGGCGCGAGCAGGUGCGAAAGCAGGUCAUAGUGAUCCGGUGGUUCUGAAUGGAAGGGCCAUCGCUCAACGGAUAAAAGGUACUCCGGGGAUAACAGGCUGAUACCGCCCAAGAGUUCAUAUCGACGGCGGUGUUUGGCACCUCGAUGUCGGCUCAUCACAUCCUGGGGCUGAAGUAGGUCCCAAGGGUAUGGCUGUUCGCCAUUUAAAGUGGUACGCGAGCUGGGUUUAGAACGUCGUGAGACAGUUCGGUCCCUAUCUGCCGUGGGCGCUGGAGAACUGAGGGGGGCUGCUCCUAGUACGAGAGGACCGGAGUGGACGCAUCACUGGUGUUCGGGUUGUCAUGCCAAUGGCACUGCCCGGUAGCUAAAUGCGGAAGAGAUAAGUGCUGAAAGCAUCUAAGCACGAAACUUGCCCCGAGAUGAGUUCUCCCUGACCCUUUAAGGGUCCUGAAGGAACGUUGAAGACGACGACGUUGAUAGGCCGGGUGUGUAAGCGCAGCGAUGCGUUGAGCUAACCGGUACUAAUGAACCGUGAGGCUUAACCUU